rnacentral:tRNA from 1 species
AGCGGAUGGGUCAGACAGCAAGACGCCGGGCUCAUAACCCGGAGAAGUCGAUGCAACUCCGGCAUCCGCUACCA